UACGGAAGGCAGCAGUGGGGAAUAUUGCACAAUGGGCGAAAGCCUGAUGCAGCUAUGCCGCGUGUAUGAAGAAGGCCUUAGGGUUGUAAAGUACUUUCAUCGGGGAGGAAAAAACAAAACUAAUAAUUUUAUUUCUUGACGUUACCCGAAAAAGAAGCACCGGCUAACUCCGUGCCAGCAGCCGCGGUAAUACGGAGGGUGCUAGCGUUAAUCAGAAUUACUGGGCGUAAAGAGCACGUAGGUGGUUUUUUUAAAGUCAGAUGUGAAUCCCUGGGCUUAACCUAGGAACUGCAUUUUGAAACUGAAAUACUAGAGUAUCGUAGAGGGAGGUAGAAUUCUAGGUGUAGCGGUGAAAUGCGUAGAUAUCUGGAGGAAUACCUGUGGCGAAAGCGGCCUCCUAAACGAAUACUGACACUGAGGUGCGAAAGCGUGGGGAGCAAACAGGGAUUAGAUACC
rnacentral:rRNA from 1 species